rnacentral:tRNA from 1 species
UCGGGAUAGCUCAGCUGGUAGAGCAGAGGACUGAAAAUCCUCCG